CACGUAGGCGGUAGCUUAAGUCAGACGUGAAAGACCAGGGCUCAACCCUGGGGUUGCAUUUGAAACUGAGCUACUAGAGUACAGGAGAGGUAAGUGGAAUUCCUAGUGUAGCGGUGAAAUGCGUAGAGAUUGGGAGGAACACCAGUGGCGAAGGCGACUUACUGGGCCGUAACUGACGCUGAGGCUCGAAAGCGUGGGGAGCAAACA
rnacentral:rRNA from 1 species